GACUGAUAAACGGCCUAGACGGAUUAAGAGAGAAAGCCAGGAGAGGGUCCUGAAUAGCUAGCCUACAUUUGAAUCAUGGCCACUGAAAGGACAAGGCCAAAUAUUUCGGCACUCGCAGAUAAUGACCGGUCCUUUAAAAAAAAAAAUCUAUUGAUACAGAGGCUUUGACACGAAUCAAGCCUCAUAGAAAACAAUGUAUAGCCACAGAGGCAUUGAAGGAAUAAAGUCUGACUGUGAGUGGUGUCUCACAUGGAGGUGGGUUGUUUUAGGGGAAUCAGGUGCAGAAGGAAAGUAAUUGCUAGCAGGUACCUGUGCUCAUUAGGCGAGGGGCUGGUGUGGGGCUUCUAUGUGUGUGGCCAUAUAUAAAACCCACGCGCUGUCCCCAUAGAGUUGUCAAAGACAGACUUCCUGGCACCCCCAGAUCAAGCAGAGAAAUGUAGGCGCUGACUACACCCCCUGCAGAAGUCAAAAGAAAGCCUGGGGAAUAUCCAAAUGCGUAGCCCCAUGACAAACCCUACAUUUUCAGUAUAUACCAUGAUCUCUAUGUAUUUUUUUAAGCGAUGCCAGAAGCACUACAGCGCAAUCUUUAUCCUGCAAAGGGAAGCGCAGGCAGUUAUGGGGCUACCGUUUGUCCCUUCUUAGAAGACCCUGAAAAUAGCAGCUCAAGUCACUUAAGAAGUUUUCCAGCCGUCCUUAGCUGGGAGGAAUGCGAGAAUGACGCGAGCGCUUCGGAUUGGGACCGGGAGUGGGGGUGGAAGUAACCCGAUUGGCCUUCACCGGACAACGCAAUCGGUUGGAGAUUUGAAAGAUCGUUUGCAAAUAAUCGCGUGGUUAAGCCGGUGGCCAAACAGAAAGGUUGGAGCAGCACCUGAAACCCACGCGGAGCAACAGCACGUAAGGGCCAAAAACAGAAGUAAAACUGAACCAUUCUUCUGCCUUUUCCCGAGAACGAGCAGUUUGAAAGUGAUCAUCGAUUUCUUAGGGGGACAAUGUCCUUUAAAUAAAAAAGAUUAAUCUUAUUGCAAUGUGACCAUUACUUUAUAUCGAUUAAAAAAAA